rnacentral:rRNA from 1 species
UUAAGCUACAAAGGGCUAAUGGUGAAUGACUUGGUGUCAACAGGCGAUGAAGGACGUGGUAAGCUGCGAUAAGCCUCGGGGAGCCGCAAACUGGCUUUGAUCCGGGGAUUUCCGAAUGGGACAACCCUAGCUGGGUUAUACCGGCUAACCGGCGGCUGAAUUCAAUAGGCCGUCAGGAGCGAACCGAGAGAACUGAAACAUCUCAGUAACUCGAGGUAAUAGAAAUCAGUAGAGAUUCCCCUAGUAGCGGCGAGCGAACGGGGAAGAGCCUAAACCCGUCAAACGUGAUAGCUGAUGCGCGUUGUUUGGCGGGGGUUGCAGGGCCUUAUCGGACGACAGCAUUGUGUCGUCGGGAAGUUACAAAGAUACCUCUUAAUCAAACAGUCUGGAACGACUGACCAAAGAAGGUGAUAGUCCUGUAGGUGAAAAGAGAGUAUUCUUCCUGGAUAAGGUACCUAAUUACCAUGGGGCACGUGGAAUCCUGUGGGAAUCCGGGAGGACCAUCUUCCAAGGCUAAAUACUAGUUGGCGACCGAUAGUGAACUCAGUAACGCGAGUGAAAGUUGAAAAGUACCCCGGAAGGGGAGUGAAAUAGUACCUGAAACCGUUAGCUUACACAGCGGUCAGAGGGCUAUGGCCGCCAUAGCAAUGUGGCGGCAAUGCCUGAUGGCGUACCUUUUGCAUAAUGAGCCUGCGAGUUACUGUACGUUGCGAGGUUAAGUCCUUAACAGGACGGAGCCGGAGCGAAAGCGAGUCCUAACUGGGCGAUUAGUAACGUGUAGUAGACCCGAAACCAAGUGAUCUACUUAUGGCCAGGGGGAAGCCGCGGUAAAACGCGGUGGACGCCCGAACGGGUGACAGUUGAAAAUGUCUCCGAUGAGCUGUGAGUAGGAGUGAAAGGCCAAUCAAACUUGGAGAUAGCUGGUUCUCCCCGAAAUAACUAUAGGGUUAGCCUUGCAAAUUAGCGGAUGGGGGUAGAGCACUGGAUGGACUAGGGGGCUUACCGGCCUACUGAAUCCAACCAAACUCCGAAUACCAUCUUGCCGUAUUGCAGGAGACAGAAUGUGAGGGAUAAGCUUCAUGUUCGCGAGGGAAAGAGCCCAGAUCGUCAGCUAAGGUCCCUAAGAUGAGCUAAGUGGUAAAGGAUGUGAGGUCGCGUAAACAACCGGGAUGUUGGCUUAGAGGCAGCCAUCAUUUAAAGAGUGCGUAAUAGCUCACCGGUCGAGUGAUCUCGCGCCGACAAUGAUCGGGGCUAAGCUCAUCACCGAAGCUACGGGUUUCUUAAAGUUCGCAAGAACUUUAAGGAGCGGUAGGGGAGCGUUCCAUUGUAGGUUGAAGGGUGACCGUAAGGACACCUGGACGAAAUGGAAGUGAGAAUGCAGGUAUGAGUAGCGAAAAGACAGGCAAGAAACCUGUCCGCCGAAAGUCUAAGGUUUCCCGGGGAAGGUUAAUCCGCCCGGGGUUAGUCGGGCCUAAGUCGAGGCCGAAAGGCGUAGGCGAUGGAUAGCAGGGUAAAAUAUUCCUGCACCACGGAUCAGGUGUUUGAAUCAAUGAGGUGACUCAGGAAGUUAGGUACCGCGCGCCUGGUGGUUGUGCGCGUCUGGCUUUGUAGGUAUUGCCGAAAGGUGAUAUUGAGGAAGUCGGGGAACCCGAGCUACGGCAAGGGAGAACGGGCCGAUACUAUGCUGACAAGAAACAGCUUCGUUGAUGAAUCUGAUUCGUGUCCGUACCGUAAUCCGACACAGGUAGACGAGGAGAAUAUCCAAAGGCGAUCGUCAUAACUCUCGUUAAGGAACUCGGCAAUCUAGCCCCGUAACUUCGGAAGAAGGGGUGCUCUCUCUGGUGUAGUGUACAACGAAGCUGGAGAGGGCUUCAAGAAAGUGGCCUGUGUGACUGUUUAGUAAAAACCCAUGUCUCUGCAAAGUCGGCAAGACGACGUAUAGGGACUGACACCUGCCCGGUGCUAGAAGGUUAAGGAAAGGGGUUAGCGCAAGCGAAGCUCUUGACUGAAGCCCUAGUAAACGGCGGCCGUAACUAUAACGGUCCUAUGGUAGCGAAAUUCCUUGUCGGGUAAGUUCCGACCCGCACGAAUGGUGUAACAACAUGGGCGCUGUCUCAACGAGAGAGUCGGUGAAAUUGUAGUCGCUGUCAAGAUGCAGCGUAACCACGAGUAGACGAAAAGACCCCAGAACCUUUACUGUAAGCUGGUCCUGAACUUAGGUCCUGUAUGUGUAGCAUACGCGGGAGACUUUGAGGCCCUGGCGCUAGUCAGGGUGGAGUCGAAAUAUGAAAUACCGCGCUUACUAUACUUGGGUUCUAACUCCCGGCCUUAAUCAGGUCGGAGGACACGGCUAGCCGGGCAGUUUGACUGGGGCGGUUUCCUCCCAAAGCGUAACGGAGGAGUCCAAAGGUUCCCUCAGCGCGGUCGGCAAUCGCGCGUGGAGUGUAAAGGCAUAAGGGAGCUUAACUGCGAGACUUACUAGUCAAGCAGAUGCGAAAGCAGGGCUUAAUGAUCCGGUAGUUGCGAAUGGAAGCGCUAUCGCUCAACGAAUAAUAGGUACUCUGGGGAUAACAGGCUUAUCGGAUCCAAGAGUUCAUAUCGACGAUCCGGUUUGGCACCUCGAUGUCGGCUCAUCGCAACCUGGGGCUGGAGAAGGUCCCAAGGGUCCGGCUGUUCGCCGGUCAAUAGCGGUACGCGAGCUGGGUUUAGAACGUCGUGAGACAGUUCGGUCUCUAUCUCUCGUGGUCGAAGGAGACUUGCGGGGCACUAUCCAUAGUACGAGAGGACCUGGAUGGCUGAGCCUCUGGUGUUCCAGUUGUUCCUGCCAAGGGCAUUCGCUGGGUAGCUAUGCUCGGAAGAGAUAACCGCUGAAAGCAUCUAAGUGGGAAGCUCUCCCCAAGAUAAGGUCUCCCCGCCCGUAAGGGCAUGAAGGCACCUAGGAGUCUACUAGGUUGAUAGGCUGGGUGUGUAAGCUCCGUAAAGGAGUUCAGCUGACCAGUACUAAUCUGCCGAUAGGCUUGAUCAC